GACAGAGGGGGCAAGCGUUGCUCGGAAUUACUGGGCGUAAAGGGCGCGUAGGCGGGAUGGUAAGUCGGUCGUGAAAUCCCUCGGCUCAACCGAGGAACGUCGAUCGAUACUACCGUUCUUGAGGAUUGCAGAGGAGACUGGAAUUCCCGGUGUAGUGGUGGAAUGCGUAGAUAUCGGGAGGAACACCAGUGGCGAAGGCGGUUGCCUGGGGCUUUGCUGACGCUGAUGCGCGAAAGCGUGGGGAGCGAUCCGG
rnacentral:rRNA from 1 species